GAUGAGGUGGCCGAGAGGUUAAGGCGAUGGACUGCUAAUCCAUUGUGCUAUGCGGCACGCGGGGUUCGAGUCCACCCUCAUCG
rnacentral:tRNA from 1 species